AGAAUUGCGUUUGGACAAUCAGU
rnacentral:ncRNA from 11 species